rnacentral:rRNA from 1 species
CGAGCACGCGCGUGUGGCAUAUCAAUAAGCGGAGGAAAAGAAACUAACAAGGAUUCCCUUAGUAACGGCGAGUGAAGCGGGAAGAGCUCAAAUUUGAAAUCUUCAAGGUUCUACCUUGACGAAUUGUAGUUUAUAGAAGUGUUUUCUGUUAGUGGAGUGGCAAAAGUUCUUUGGAAUAGGACAUCAUAGAGGGUGAGAAUCCCGUAUUUGGUCAUUCCUCCUAGCGUUGUGAUACACUUUCAACGAGUCGGAUUGUUUGGGAAUGCAGUCCAAAAUGGGUGGUAAAUUUCAUCUAAAGCUAAAUAUUGGCGAGAGACCGAUAGCGAACAAGUACCGUGAGGGAAAGAUGAAAAGAACUUUGAAAAGAGAGUUAAACAGUACGUGAAAUUGUCAAAAGGGAAGCGUUUGACACCAGUGUUGUUUUUCCGAAAAUCAAUUACGAAUGUUUUGUUUUUGAGGAGUUAUGACUUCAUCGGCUUGCUCCUUUCUUUACGAAACUUUCUUAAUGCACUUUUCGGUUAACAAGUCAACAUCAAUUUCUUUUGUUGUAAAAGGUAUGAGGAAGGUGGCUUGCUCUUCGGCGCAAGUGUUUAUAGCCUUGUACCUCUGCAAUCGGAGAGAUUGAGGUCUGCAGCGUAGAUCCUUCGGGGUUAGAUACAGUUUGUGCUAAGCUAUAGCCUUUUAUAGACAACUUGUUGACUAUGCUCAGUCAUGUAGCUUACUCGCUUAUGCUAUUUUACCUACGCUUAGGAUGUUGAACUCUAUCACACACAG